rnacentral:tmRNA from 1 species
GGGGGCGAUCCGGUUUCGACCGGGCUUACGGAAAUGCAGGUUGCGUGCCGUGGUUGAUCAGAUGGCCACGUAAAUAUCUGAUCAAACUUAACUGCAGAACCGCAGUUUUCUAUGGCUGCUUAAUAAUAUAGCAGUCGCGCGUCUGAGAGCUUAGCCAGAGAGGU